AUUCUGUUCAUUUUUUCUACCUCACC
rnacentral:miRNA from 1 species